rnacentral:rRNA from 1 species
AACGAACGCUGGCGGCAUGCCUAACACAUGCAAGUCGAACGAGACCUUCGGGUCUAGUGGCGCACGGGUGCGUAACGCGUGGGAACCUGCCCUUAGGUUCGGAAUAACUCCCCGAAAGGGGUGCUAAUACCGGAUAAUGUCUUCGGACCAAAGAUUUAUCGCCUUUGGAUGGGCCCGCGUUGGAUUAGCUAGUUGGUAGGGUAAAAGCCUACCAAGGCGACGAUCCAUAGCUGGUCUGAGAGGAUGAUCAGCCACACUGGGACUGAGACACGGCCCAGACUCCUACGGGAAGCAGCAGUGGGGAAUAUUGGACAAUGGGCCAAAGCCUGAUCCAGCAAUGCCGCGUGAGUGAUGAAGGCCUUAGGGUUGUAAAGCUCUUUUACCCGGGAUGAUAAUGACAGUACCGGGAGAAUAAGCUCCGGCUAACUCCGUG